rfam:Picea glauca, whole genome shotgun sequence.
CUAAUGGAUCUACUUGGAUCCACCUACUACAGUGAGAAAGUAAUUG